CCAAGAGCGUCGUGUUUUGCGGUGACCUUUCGGAAUGACGAGCAUCACUGCUUGGAAGUCAUCUUGGAAGGUCACAAGUUUGAGCGUCUCUUCGCUUCUUCCUGUGAGGCACAAUAAGAAGUAUUCAAGGUCAACAGAUAUUCCAGAAAGCCAUUUCUAUGAGGAAACGCUUUAAAUUCUGAGCACUUUAAAAAGCACUUCAUCUGAAAUUCAAACAUUUCCAAGCCGGCACCCACAGUCCAGAGUCGAUGCACCUUGCCAGGUGAUAUUUGCCCUCCUGUGGAGACCACCACCACCACCACGUCAUCAUCACAUCAUCAUCAUCAACCAUCCAUC